GUCCAACCUGCCAGAGCCCAGAGGCCAGAGCCAUUGCCAGUUCCAAAGCAUAGCUUUCUUCAAUUAGCAGCUGCUUACAACUUCAUCACAAGGUUAAACGUCAUGCCGCGUCGCCUACUUCUUCUUUUUUUGCGAGUUUAAAGAAAGUUUUAUUCCAAAGUAACAUGUAAGUUACAGUCCGCUAAUACAAGAUUAUGAAUGAAGGGGGGUGACCGUUGCAACCAACAAGCGGUGCUACGAGCCGUUCGAGCAUAAUUAGCAAGACAAUGUGAGACCAUGUUCUGUGAUCUCAGGAUCUUCAUAGGUUUAAACUCCCUCUGCAGCAUGUAGUUCUUGAUAUCCCUGGCCAAUUGACCAUUGGGUGAUUUAUCAAGUGGGGCAAAAAUCAUAGAAGAAAGGGUCACCAGCGAGUCCGACUGUACUAAGACCGGAAGGUUAGACCAUUCAAUAGCCAUAGACAUUCCUAUCUUGAUAGCUUGAAUUUCCGCCCUAAGGGCAUUGUUACAGUAGAACAAUAGUUGACAUGAUGAAAAAAAUGACAGAGCCCAAGUUAUAGGAUCAUGCCUGCUACCGCCGAGCGCUCUUCCGCUAAGUAAAGAACCAUCCACUGACGAGGCAAGCCAGCCAAGAGGUGGCGGCUGCCAUGGUCUAUCCGGCGGCUGCAACGCUCCCUUCAGAGGCGAUUCCCCUCUGAUAAUUUGCUCUGUGGUGAGAUUGUCUGCAUUAAGAUAGCUACACACCCAGCCUGAUGGGAUUGGCACGAGGAAUCCACUCCAUGAUAUAUUGGCCGAGACGUGCAACACAAGCUUUUUUUGUGCUCCAUCUUUAGAACCGAAAUAACUAACGCCUUUACGCGGGGUCGUUGGCAUUCUCUAUCUAUCUCUCCACUGGCUGCUGUCUGCUUCGCUCAUGCUGCGUUGUGUUUUGACCCAGAAAAAUGCUGUGGUCAUCCAUGCCCAGAACUGGGUGCGCACUCAUCUCUCGCCACGCCCCCUGAUGUUCAUGUACCAGUACUGCUAGAUAUUGGUCAGUUGCCUUCUCCAAGCUCCAACUGACCAGAAAGGCAGAAACCCAAUUCAUCACCAUCAUCAGUGUCCGUUGCUUCGACACUUUGAACUGGCAGUCUAGUUGGCACUGCUGCUGCUCCUCCUACGCGCCACGCAUCAUUCGGUGACCCAAAUCGAGCUGACCUCUCAACAGUGUAACAAACCCCGGCUGCUACUGAAUCUCCAAACAAGCACACACCGACAGAUUCAGUUCAAUUCAACAGAUAACAAACGGUGUCGACAAUUCAACAGAGGAAUGGCAAACCCACCCCUGUAUGUGGAGCACAAGGGGUCGAUCCGCACGAAUAUAAUGCCCACAGAAUCCUCAGUUUCGCUUCUGAUCUCGGGUACGAAUGCUAUAAGCACAUAGGCACCGGUGUCUGCUGUUUCUGGUACUACAGGUUCAGUUCAGUCUGGCGAGACAUCAAAGCCAGUACAUUUUAUUGCGGAGCACGACGACGCCUCGAUGCCCCGCAGCACAACCGGGUUUGGAGGCAACGAAAGCGGCCGAACAAAAAUUGCAUGAGUUCAAGUGUGAACCGUUCGAUAUAGGCUGAGCAGGUCGCCGCCUAGCUCUCCUGCGCGAACUUGACCCCCUUCUCGAUGGAAGACAGCAGCUCGCCCUUGAGGCUCUCCAGCCCCUCCUUCUCCAAGGCCGACAGCUCGCCCAGCCCCAUCACUUCCUCCACUCCACUCUUGCCCAGCCUCACCUGUGCAAUGCCAAAGGAAGGAAAGUAGUGUUCAGCACAUCAAGUCUCCAUCUUCUCACGGGAGUUAACAGGUUGCGGAAUAGCAUUCAGCACAGGCAUGUUUUCCGGGCUUCGAAAACGGGCUUAGAUGAUGUGAAACAAAGCACAAUCUGUGAAUCGUGGUAUGCCAGUUCGAUCAUUAUGACACAUGGGACAUGCCUGGCCCUCUACAACAAUGGUAACUCCAUAAACUUAAAAAUCAACCAUAAGUUUGUCUAUAAACUAAUCAACCAAAAAAUUACGGAUCAACAAGAGUGUCUUGCCAGGCCUGCGACAGACCACAAGAUUUAACUCAAAAGAACAACCUACACUUUGGAUACCUGCUUACAAAGUAAAAAACAUAGCGACACCUUCUACGAAUAAGCAUGCAAGCAAAUUUCAUGUAGGGAUGAAAAGUUGGUAACCUGCUUAAGAACUUAUAACAUGAUAAAAGAAAGAGGAUUAUGAAGGUUUUCUCUUGACAAAUAAUCUGCAGGGACGUGAUUGUGUACUAUACAGGGAGAAUAGGAUUUAUUUAUGCAUCGACAGGGGGGGAACAGGAAAUCACCUUGGAGGCAAAGAAUGGCAGCUCUGUUACGGUUGAUUGGACAAAAGAGCACUCUACAAUGUCAGGAACACCGUUGAGCCCCUUCAAGCAUGCAUCUCCAAAAACUGCACCAGCAUAUCUGGAAAAACAGAAGAUCAAAUAUUGUCAGCGAAAACCAAAUAAUGCAAAAGAGUCCAGUCUAAGAUUAGCAAUGUGAUACUACAAAACAUGAGGUUGCUACGGAAUUCAUCUACAUAGAUCAAAAUGGCCAUGUCUCAUUUCAGAUGGUAAUUUCCAGCUAAAAUGAGCAGAAAGUACAAUAUGUUGGACAUAACUGAAUUAAGUAUGCAUUUCACAUGAAAGCAAAAGCAGAAGAUCAACAGUGGUAUGAAAAAACUCUUUAGUAAAGAAUAUUCUCUACAAUUAGUACGUAGGUCAGUACUCCAAAAAUAAAAUCAGGAAUCCAGGGUGCAAUAUAAUUUACGCAACCAGAUGUUUUAAGUUUCACGCUGAAGUAAAACAUUAAACUGAAGGACCAAACAAAAUGAACACCUAAGAAAAAAGGCCACUUAUACAAUGAACAUGUAACUACUGAUAAACAGAAUGGAAAACACAUUCACAUAUGUACAUAUUUGGCAGUAAAGCACUGUUAUGAACAUACAAUCAAAUGGAUACAAGAACUACAAUACAGUAGUUAGUCAGAUCAAAUAGGUUAUGAAUACUGAAUUUGGUCAUAUCCUGAGUGCAGAGUAUAAACACUAAUAUACUACUUUGAUAUUCUACAAAAACCAUGGACACACAGGGAUAAUAGCAUGUUAUUUUCAAGAGCAUAAAACUAGCAGAAAGAGAACAUGCUCAGGAAAGUCUGUGUGCGUGUUGAUAGACUUACGCCAUCGACAAUGUUGCUGAGCCCUUUCCAGCCUUCGCUUCAACAACUUCCGUCCCACCAUCUUGUGUCCUCUUCGUGAGGGCGACAAGGUCCUCAUGGGACAAUGCAUUACUUGCAGGAGUAGCCUAUAUCAAAUAUAAAGAAUUGAGUUGUUAACUUGAGAUGUUGGCGGUAAAACAUAUGGCAGAUAUAGCAUAAAAUUAAAACAGCAUUAGUUGCAUAGUGUUUCGGUGAUUGACAGAUGAAAGAUAAGCAGCACUAGAGAGGCAUACUGUUGAUUCUUAUCCAAAACAUAGAUUUCAUUAGCUAAAACGACUUGCCAACAGCAUUCAGAAUAAUUUAUACAACUAUGCUAUGAAGUUUUGUUAUCAGUAUGUGUUUACAAUGUCGCUAGAUUUGCACAUCAAUUUGUGUUGCUAUUGAAUGAAAUGAAAGAAAACAAGUUAAGCCAGUAAGAUGCCAGACCUGCGAGAACAGUGGCAGGAUAGUGAUUCCAGCAUGGCCACCAACAACAGGAACAUUCACCCCUGCAAAAGAUCACAGCAACAACUCAGAUUGAAAGGACAGAGGCAUAAAAUCCAACAACAUAAUCUCAAUUUUCCCUAUAAUUAAGUGAAAUGUCAUCUUAAUACCAGUAACUGGCACGUUCGCCUUUCCAGCAUAGAAUGUUUUAGCACGAACAACAUCAAGAGUGGUCACACCAAACAGCUUCUUCUCAUCAUAGGUACCAGCCUUCUUGAACACCUCAGCUGCAAUUGGGACAGUCGAGUUGACAGGGUUGCUGAUCAUAUUGACGAGAGCCUGAACAAGCAUAAUUAACAAUUCCACAAUUAGAUUUUUACAUAAAUACUGUAUAAUUUAAAAAAAUACUUCAUAAACAACGGUUGACAUCUUGACAUACAGUAGCACACGCAUGAGGAUGCUUAAAUUACACACUGAUGUCAUGCCAGGCCUCCGGAGCCAAUGGCUGGAUAGUGUUAGUGUUAGAGCAGCUUUCUUUGCUUUUGCUUUUUUCGUUUAUCUAAUUUCAGUUAGCAGCUUUACGUCGAGUUGCAUAGAGUUCUUUGCACUGCAGUCGUGCAAGUUCUGCAGCUUCUUGGUUUUCAUCUAAUACAAAAACACAUGCAUUUUGAUGUGAAUGCGUGUUUGAGUUGGAAAAUAGAACUACCCAUGGAUGCCACACCUUGGCCAUCGUAGUAUACAGUGUGUGCAAUAGGAUGGAGGCAGAGAGAUGAAGCCCAAAAUGCAAAACAAUGUCUGAAGCAAAUUUGCCUCCUAGCAAACAGCCCCAGAACAUAAAUCGUAAGACAAUGGCUGAAGCAAGUGUGCUGUCUAGAAACAGCCUAAAGACUGAGGCAGAAAAGAAACACCUGAGUUGGUAGUGGCAGUUGGGUUCAUUUUGGGCAAACAGAGUGGCAGUCAUCCUAUGAUGCGACUACUACGUGACUGCUCUCCCCCAGAUCAUCGCUGAAUGCAAAGCAUACAACCGACCGGCAGCGGCAAUUCGAUUCAUUUGAAGCAAGCCAUUGUUUUAAACUUUUAUUGCUACCUACAACAAUCAUAUGAAACAAUGUGACUGCACCGCCAGAGAACAAAAAUGAAGAGGGCCAGGCUCAAACUGUAAAACAAGGCCUGAACCAAUUGUGCCUCCUACAUAGAAGCAGCCUACAGAUUUGGGGCACGAAAGUAACACCUGAUUUUGUUGUGGCAGUUGGGUCCAUUUUGGGAACAACUCUUGUGGACUAGUAGUACAGAGCAAUCCUAUGCAACAAAUUUGACUGCUCUGUCCCUAUGCCCCAGAUCAGAAAUGAACGCAAAACAUACUAGAACCGUCGGCAAGUAGAAGCAAUUCCGAGCAGGGAAACGUGCGAUUGCCGCAUUUGGCAACCAAAUCUAGCUAUGCCGCCUCCACCGAACUGCAGAUCUAGAGUGGCGUGGCGGCAGAGUGGGUGAUAAGGGGGCUUACGUUGGGGCAGUGCCUGGCGAUGGCGGUGCAGAGGCCCUUGACGAUCCCGGCGUUGAUCUUGAAGAGGUCGUCCCUGGUCAUGCCGGGCUUGCGGGGCACCCCGGCGGGGAUGAUGACGAGGUCGGCGCCCUCCAGCGCCUCCCCGAGCUGGUCGUCCCCGACGAAGCCCUUCACCUGCGGCCCCAUCGGACUAGUUAGACACAGAUCCAGCGGAGCGAGCUAGCCGGCGGGGAAGGGAGGGAGAGGGAGUAGGGACGGACGUACCAGGGCGCGGGUGUUGAUGUGGGAGACGUCGGCGGCGACGCCGGGCGUGGCGGCGAUGUCGUAGAGGGAGAGGGAGGAGACGAGCGGGUUGAGCUUCAUGAGCAGCGCCAGCGGCUGGCCGAUGCCGCCCGCCGCGCCGAGGAUGGCCACCUUCCGCUCCGGCGAGGCGGCGGCGGAGGAGUAGUCGCGGCGGCGGCGCAGGUGCUGCGACGCGGAUCUCAGCAGCGACAUCCUCAUCUUUUCCUCGCCCUCGCCUCCGCUCUAAGCUAUGUGUGUGUGUGUCGCUGCGCUGGCGGUAGUGCGGUCGAUGGAGAGGGGGCGGCGGCUUUAAAGAGGAGCGGAGAAGGGGUGGAUGGGAUCCAAAGUGUUGCCGUCUCCGCCGAUGCGGUGAGAUGCUUUGUUUCGUUUCAUUUCACCCGUGUGGGUGUGGUGGUGGGGUGGGUUUUGCUGGCCGAGGCACAACGGUGGUACCACCUGCGCUGCGCACCGCAUACACCACUUGUUCACAGCGACCUGCACCAUGGCAUCCAGCCAUUGCCAGUCACCUCGCCACUUACUCCCUCCGUUCGGAAUUACUCGUCCAAAAAAUAAAUGAAAGUAUCUGGAUGUAUUUAAGUUAUAGAUACAUUCAUUUUUGUGACAAGUAAUUCCGAACGAAGGGAGUACAAAUUAUAUGGAAUCAUAAUGCUCUCUCGCUAUUACUUUUCCAACGCCUUGCCACCCGCCAUCGGCCAUAGAAGCGCUUCCCCCCCUUGAUGACGCGGAGGAGAAUCAGAGGCGGUGCAAACUCGUGUGGGAAGAUGCUCGCCUUUUUUUUUCAUUCCAAAUAAUCUAGCUCAUGAGAGUGGUAAGAGAGGCCAUGGCUUUUUUUGUUGGGGAUGUUGUUCCCGGGUAAGUUUACCCGCCACUCAUUCAUUGAGCGCUCUACCAAAUUCAACAACCUCAAGUUGAACCUGCACUUAGAGAAGAGGUGGGCAACGGAUUCUUCCUCUCUUUAGGGCCUCUUUGAUUCAUAGAAUUGCAAAAACACAUGAAUAGGAAAAAUAUAGGAUUGGAAUGGCAUGUCCAUUGGAUCCCUAUAGGAUUUGAGUUUGUUUGAUUGUGUCACGGGAAAAACAAAGGAUUGCUUUCAAGAGGUUGGAGUGGAUGUAAGAAUUCCUGUGAAAUGUAGUACAAAUGAAUCCUUAGGAAAAAAAAUCCUACGGGAUUCAAUCCCACGAAUCAAACGACCAGCGUAGGAAAAAUUACUAAGGAUUCUAAUCCAUCAAAGAUCCUAUGAAAAUCCUUUGGAUCAAAAAGACCCUUAAUUGGUUCAGGCCUUAUUACUUGCACGCACCAUUUGCCAAUGGUGAUAGUAAUAGAGGCAUAGAAUAGAUCGAGGUCCAUUUCAUCACAAGGGUUGCCCAUUUCGACCCACAUCUUGGUUGGAUCCUUCCACUCAUAUCAAGGCACCGCAAUCAUAGAGCCCUAGCAAACUUCUCAAGAUUGAGCACGCCGAGGCCGCCGAGUUCAUGGGAGCGGGGCACGGUGUCCCAAUUGACUUUGCAUUUGGUAUCAGUAGUCAUAUCUAACAUCGACCAAAGAAAAGCUCUCAUUAGCUUAUUGGCUUCUGUGAAGUGUGUUUCCGAGGUGAGAACCGACUUGACGAGGGCGUUGCGACUACGGGAGCUAAAUCCGGCAAAUCUCGUGUAGGGGGUCCCGAGCUAGUGAUCUUGGCAUGAUGGUAACAAGACAAAAAGGAGAUACAAUAUUUACCCAGGUUCGAGCCCUCUCGAAGAGGUAAAACUCUACGCCUUGCUUGUAUUGUAUUGAUUGUGGAUGGGGUACAAAGUAUAGAUUGAUCUACUUCAAGAUCGUAUGUGUGAAUGAAUCUAUAGAAUAUCUAGAAUAUGUUCUAUCGACUAGCCUAGCCUCGGUUUAUAUAAUGUACCAGAGGCCUAGGAUUUAGAAGAGUCCUCAUGUUGUGCGCAAGCCUUGUGGAAUCUUCCUUGUAUACGUCAUGAGCUGCCCGAAGAGGCCUAGUAAUUAACCGCCAAGGGGGUCCUUGGCCCGGCCCUACUGGUCGGGAGAUGACAUGGUGAGCACACUCUAGUCUAGGAUACCAUCAGCGGCCAAUGUUAGUAAUAUUUUUAACUCACAAGGAACAAGACUUAGUGCAAUUUUGUCCUCAAGGUAUUAGAAGUCCACCUUCUUGAGUUGCCAAACCAAAAGUGUAAGGCCCAAGUAUGUUAUUAGGAAGGAAGCACGAGUAGCCGACAAACUUUGGAGGAUUGGCUCAAGGUUUAAAUGACCACAUUCGAUUGGGACCAUGGAGCUCUUGUGGAAGUUGGUGGAUAGAUAUCACACUCGAUUGGGGCCAUGAACAUCCCGCAUCAUCUACAUGAAGAGAGGUUCUAACCAUGGUACCCCGACCAUGAUCUUGCGGAGAAGACCAUGCCUUGUUGCCAAGUCAAGCACGCGCUAGAGGGGAACGAUUGCGAUGACGAAAAGGAGCGGGGGGGUCACCUUGUCGAAACCCACGACCAUGCAAGAUUGGAGGUCCGACCACCCCGUUUUAAAGCACCCUCGAGGAGGAUGUGCAAAUCAGGGCGGUGAUCCAAUCCCUAAACUUGCUUGGGAACUUCGGGCAUUAGAAACAAGAGAGUUCAUGUGCAUACUAAGGCGGAUAGCUAGUAUCUUAGCAAUGAUUUUUGCAACGGAAUAAAUGAGGCUAAUAGGCAUAAAGUCGAUGAUCUCUUCCACACCCUCUUUCUGGGGCAAAAGCACAAUGUUUACAGAGUUUAACCAUUGGAGAUUUGCACCAUGGAGGUCACCAAAAUGAUGGUUGGCUCUCAUGAGUUCAACCUUAACAAUGUCCCAACACUUCCAAAAAAUGCCCGAUGAACUCAUCCAACGUGAGUGCGUCAUUUGGCAUUUGGUUGGAUGGCCUCUCACACCUCCUCCUUGGUGAAAGGGGCCUCAAGGUCAUGCAAGUCCCGUACGUCAAGGUUGAGCUCCUCCCAGUUGAAUUUGGUCUAGAGUAUUUUUCCCAUGGCAUCGGAGAAGUGGGUAUGAAUGAUGUCUUUUUGUUCAUGCUCGAUGACCCAACCAAGAUUGUGCUUACCCUAUGGAUGUGAUUUUCUUCUUUUCCUCGCGUUGAUCCCGUUGUAGAACUUGGUGUUAGCAUCACCGUUUUUUAAGUCGGUCAUUCUUGUGUGUUGCUUCUUGUUCUCUGAAGCACCACCAUGCUAAUUACACAUCUCUUUAGCUUCGCACUAAUGUCAUGCUUCUUCAUGGUCGAGAAAGGAGAAUAAUCAAUUGGGCCGCAUAGAGGUGUAUCUUCGCUUACCCUCUAUUCCACUCGGAGAGGUGAAGCGCAGUCUUUUUAACACAAGGCUUGGUAGGGCUCUAUGUGAUUGGAAUGCUCAUUCCGACCAAGGUGCACAAUUUCAUUGAAUGCUAGAAUAUGAGAACUCUCUCUGUUCAUUUUUAUAAGGCUUUGUAGACGUGCAUUGUGCAGAACAGCUCAAUUUCACUUGUUUGAAACGACUUAUAAAAGUGAACAGCUCAAUUUCACUUGUUUGAAACGACUUAUAAAAGUGAAUGGAGGAAGUACAAAAGUCUUGCUUUGAGGUGUCUUUCGCCCCUAGCAUCAGCAAAAGAGGGCAAUGGUCGGAUAGCAAGAUGAGUGGGUGACUGUUUGGACUAAUUGGCAAAAGGGCCUCAUUGGUGAGUGAGUGACUUCCCAGCAUGACACUAUGACGGAUUUCUCGAUGAAGUCUGCCUAGUACAAAUUAGAACAGGACUGUGAAGCAAAUUAUAAUGAAAAAAAUUGAAGCAAACCUUUACAUGUCAACCAGACUGGUAAGGUAUGAUUUUCUCAAUGAUCUUCCUCUUUUGGGCUUCAAUUUGCCCAGUAAGAAAUUAAAUUGUCUUAUGAUUUAAAUAUUGGCAAGUUCAACAUCAUUGGAUAUGCUUUUAAGAGUGCUACCGCAAAUUGUGUUUAUCUAGAGAUAAACAAAAUCACCAGCUCAAAAAAAGAGAAAUAAAAUCCCUUUUGCUGCUUUUGACAGUGUGGCGAGUUCCGUUUAAAAAAAAAGUGUGGCGAGUGCUUACCUGGCCAUUGAGAUGUCCAGCAGCUAACCUAUUUAGCCCAAAACGAUGCGCAUAGCAAGCACACAGAUGAUCAAGAUAAAUAUAUGAUCCACACAUUGAGCCAACAGGCAUAAUAAUACUGAUGAACCAUCAAGGUGGCCAACAACAAAUCCAUGGCAAGCAACAUGAUGUAGAUCAAUGUCACACAAACAGUUUGCAGCCCACCAGACAAGGCAAGGCAGACAGGAAAAACAUCCGGCUUGACUACUCCAAAUCAAGCCUUCAACCUAAAACCGACUCGCACAGUCUCUGGCUCUCAAAGUAUUGAUUGAUAAGACAGACAAGACUCAUGAUCCUCUCUCUACUCGAUCAGAUCGUCAUCGUCAUCAGGCAGUGGCUGUGCCGCUGCAGCCGCAAGCUCAGCCUCGUGCCUGCACAAGUCACAUCAAAAGGCAAUCAGCGUUUGAAUUCAGACUGAAACAGAGCGAUUCCAGUGAACAUAAAUGAAACUAUACAACAGAUUAAAGUCACUUACUGUUGCUGCAUGGCCAGGUCGAAGGUCACUUCCGG
rnacentral:lncRNA from 1 species